rnacentral:rRNA from 2 species
AGCAAACAGGAUUAGAUACCCUGGUAGUCCACGCCGUAAACGAUGAGUGCUAAGUGUUAGAGGGUUUCCGCCCUUUAGUGCUGCAGCUAACGCAUUAAGCACUCCGCCUGGGGAGUACGGUCGCAAGACUGAAAAUCAAAGGAAUUGACGGGGGUGAGACCAAGCGGUGGAGCAUGUGGUUUAAUUCGAGGAAACGCGAAGCCCUUACAGGGUCUUGACAUCCUCUGCAACCUCUAGAGAUUGAGAGUUCGCUUUCGGGGGUCAGAGUGACAGGUGGUGCCUGGGUGUCGUUAGCUAGUGUGGUGAGAUGUUGGGUUAAGUCACGAACCGAGCGAUACCCUUGAUCUUAGUUGCCAGCGGUGAGUUGGGCACUCUAAGGUGACUGAGGGGGGGCCCCCGGAGGGAAGGGUGGGGGAUGACGGAAAUGCAUCAUGCCCCUUAUGACCUGGGCUUACGACGUGCUUCAAUGGAUGGUACAAAGGGCUGCAAGACUGCGAGGUCAAGCCAAUCCCAUAAAACCAUUCUCAGUUCGGAUUGUGGGCUGCAACUCGCCUACAUGAAGCUGGAAUCGCUAGUAAUCGCGGAUCAGCAUGCCGCGGUGAAUACGUUCCCGGGGCUUGUACACAACGUAAGUAACACCACGAGAGUUUGGCCCUUCCGUAGUCGGUGGAGUAACCGUCAGGAGCUAGCCGCCUAAGGGGGG